rfam:Triticum aestivum genome assembly, contig: Triticum_aestivum_CS42_TGACv1_scaffold_582835_7BL
CAAAUACUCCCUCCGUCCGGAAAUACUUGUCAUCAAAAUGGAUAAAAGGAAAUGUAUCUAGACGUAUUUUAGUUUUAGAUACAUCUAUUUUUAUCCAUUUUGAUGACAAGUAUUUUCAGACGGAGGGAGUAGAAA